ACAAUCAAAGAAUUUUGCAUUCUUAAACCCCUUCUGAGUACUUGUACUUGUUGCUUCCGUGGUCAGCAGGUGUCAUGCUUGCAUCUACCAUCAUGGUGGAUCCACGGAAGGUGCUAUAUAAACUCUGUCAUUUUGUGGUAUCAGUCUGAGUAUGUUCAAGUUACAAAUGUAA
rnacentral:misc_RNA from 1 species